UAUUUUCAACUAGCACCUCCUGUUACGAGAGUAGAGUAAAACCGCAAAAGAAUACGAAUUUUUCAAGCACAAGACAAAAGGCAACAUAUAACCAAUAUUCCAUAUCUGCGCAUUAUGGAGAUCAAGUAGGUCCUGAACAAAUUAUUGGAGUCCAACCAACAGCCUGUCAGGUUACACAGAUCCGACUCCAUAGCCUAUUUCUGGUAACCGCCACCACGGGCAUUGUAAUCCUCCUCCACCGCCACGUUAACAUAAGCCCUAGGGAAAUCAUCCACAUCGAACUUCUUCUCCGCCAUCAUACGUUCCACAUCAGCCUUCUUGAACAGGAACCGGCGGACGGGCGGGCGGUUGCGGCGGAGGUCGCGGGUGUAGUACUUGAUGUCGUAGACAGUUUCGGGAUUGGCGGACGGGACGAAGGGCUUGCCGGGCUGGGUGGCGGGGCAGAAGCGUCGGUACUCGAGGGCGCCGGGGACGGCGAGGCGGUACUCGGGGUCGGCACAGGGGCCGGUGAUCUCCCAUGGGACUUUGAAGUAGCGGCGGAGGGAUUGGAGGGUGGAUUUCGCGGCGGAGGCGACGGAGGAGAGCUUGGCGGCGG
rnacentral:misc_RNA from 1 species